rnacentral:rRNA from 1 species
AUUGAACGCUGGCGGCAGGCCUAACACAUGCAAGUCGAGCGGAGCGGCGGACGGGUGAGUAAUGCCUAGGAAUCUGCCUGGUAGUGGGGGAUAACGUCCGGAAACGGGCGCUAAUACCGCAUUCUAUCAGAUGAGCCUAGGUCGGAUUAGCUAGUUGGUGGGGUAAAGGCCUACCAAGGCGACGAUCCGUAACUGGUCUGAGAGGAUGAUCAGUCACACUGGAAAUGAGACACGGGACAGAAUCUUAGGGGAGGGAUCAGUGGGGAAUAUUGAACAAUGGGCGAAAGCCUGAGCCAGCGAUGCCGGGUGUGGGAAGAAGUGGUUUGGAUUGUAAAGCACUUUAAGUUGGGAGGAGGUACCAACAGAAUAAGCAGCGGCUAACUUCGUGCCAGCAGCCGCGGUAAUU